rnacentral:rRNA from 1 species
GACGAACGCUGGCGGCGUGCUCAACACAGGCAAGGCGAACGGAAAGGCCCUGCUUUUGUGGGGUGCUCGAGUGGCGAACGGGUGAGUAACACGUGAGUAACCUGCCCUGGACUUUGGGAUAACGUCAGGAAACUGGUGCUAAUACCGGAUAGGAGCUCCCGCUGCAUGGUGGGGGUUGGAAAGUUUCGGCGGUUGGGGAUGGACUCGCGGCUUAUCAGCUUGUUGGUGGGGUAGUGGCUUACCAAGGCUUUGACGGGUAGCCGGCCUGAGAGGGUGACCGGCCACAUUGGGACUGGCAUACGGCACAGAGUCCUGCGGGAGGCAGCAGUGGGGAAUAAUGCACAAUGAGCGGAAGCCUGAUGCAGCAACGCCGCGUGCGGGAUGACGGCCUUCGGGUUGUAAACCGCUUGCGCCUGUGACGAAGCGCGAGUGACGGUAAUGGGUAAAGAAGCACCGGCUAACUACGUG